AUACGAAGGGCCCAAGCGUUACGCGGAAUUACUAUGGGCUUAAAGGGUGCGUAGGCGGACUUGCAAGUGUCUUGUGAAAUCCCACGGCUCAACCGUGGAAUGGCUGGGCAAACUGCAGGUCUUGAGCUCGGCAGAGGUCGUCAGAACUCUAGGUGUAGCGGUGAAAUGCGUAGAUAUCUAGAGGAACGCCAAAGGUGAAGACAGACGACUGGGCCGAUGCUGACGCUGAGGCACGAAAGCGUGGGUAGCGAACGGGAUUAGAAACCCCAGUAGUCC
rnacentral:rRNA from 1 species